GAUGAACGCUAGCGGCAGGCUUAAUACAUGCAAGUCGAGGGAGAAUGAGGCUUCGGCCUCAGGGAACCGGCGCACGGGUGCGUAACGCGUACACAACAUGCCUUAUACUGGAGUAUAGCCUCGGGAAACUGGGAGUAAUCCUCCAUAACAUUAUCGGGUGGCAUCAUCUGGUAAUUAAAGCUCAGGCGGUAUAAGAUUGGUGUGCGUAUGAUUAGCUAGUUGGUAGGGUAAUGGCCUACCAAGGCGACGAUCAUUAGCUGGCGUGAGAGCGCGACCAGCCACACUGGAACUGAGACACGGUCCAGACUCCUACGGGAGGCAGCAGUAGGGAAUAUUGGACAAUGGGCGAAAGCCUGAUCCAGCCAUACCGCGUGAUGGAUGAAGGCCCUCUGGGUUGUAAACAUCUUUUAUCAGGGAAGAAACACCUCGUUUCUACGAGGCUUGACGGUACCUGAUGAAUAAGCACCGGCUAACUCCGUGCCAGCCGCCGCUGUAAGAC
rnacentral:rRNA from 1 species